rnacentral:rRNA from 1 species
UGGGGAAUAUUGCACAAUGGGCGCAAGCCUGAUGCAGCCAUGCCGCGUGUGUGAAGAAGGCCUUCGGGUUGUAAAGCACUUUCAGCGGGGAGGAAGGCGUUAAGGUUAAUAACCUUGGCGAUUGACGUUACCCGCAGAAGAAGCACCGGCUAACUCCGUGCCAGCAGCCGCGGUAAUACGGAGGGUGCAAGCGUUAAUCGGAAUUACUGGGCGUAAAGCGCACGCAGGCGGUCUGUCAAGUCGGAUGUGAAAUCCCCGGGCUCAACCUGGGAACUGCAUUCGAAACUGGCAGGCUAGAGUCUUGUAGAGGGGGGUAGAAUUCCAGGUGUAGCGGUGAAAUGCGUAGAGAUCUGGAGGAAUACCGGUGGCGAAGGCGGCCCCCUGGACAAAGUCUGACGCUCAGGUGCGAAAGCGUGGGGAGCAAACAGG